AUAAAAAACACUAAUUAUAUGAAUAUGUUUCUAUUUAUUUAUUUCCUUUGUUGAGAUGGAUUUUACUUAUUGACUUGGAGGCUCGGAUCCGCGCUCAGCGGCAUUGGAAAGCUGAAGUCGGCGCCGUAGUCUUUUUCGUUGCCAACCUCAAGCUGUCCGAGCCAUUUCGUCACCGACUUUGUAACUCGAGUAGUCGCCCCCGCCCCGUGAGUCCAGUUGCCGACUUUCCCUCGAUUGCCGACUCCUCAUUGAAGCUUCUCCCUCCCUCGCGAUGCCUCUAUCGAUUCUAUGAACUUUGCGCGCGCCCCCCUCCUCUCCUCCACCCUCACAUCCGCCAUUGGUCGAAACCCUACCUUCAACCCCACCAUCACCCUCUCCAUCCUCGAAGCUCACCUCCGACGAUGCCGCGAUCCCAAGCACUUCCUCCAAAUCCACGCCCAAAUGACCGUUUCCGGCUUCAUCCACGACACCUUCGCCGCGAGUCGCCUCCUCGCCUUCUCCGCCACCUCCCCCUUCCUCGACCUCGAUUACUCCCUCCACAUCCUCCAUCAGAUCCAAAACCCUAACGGGUUCAUCUUCAAUUCCGUCAUUAGAGCCCACGUGCAUCGGAAUCGCCCCAGUUGUUGCCUCCCAUUGUACAAAUCCAUGCUGAGGAGCCACUUUGUUGUGGAUAAUUACACCUACCCGAUUCUAAUCCACGCUUGCGCCGCCCGGUUUUCGGUAAUCGAAGGCAAGCAGAUGCAUACCCAUGUUUCAAAAUUGGGUUUUGAUUCGGAUGUGUACGUUGUUAACACUCUGAUCAACAUGUACUCAGUUUGUGGCAACUUGGGCGACGCGCGUAUGAUGUUCGAUAAAAGUCCCGUGUUGGAUUCGGUUUCGUGGAACUCAAUCCUCGCGGCAUAUGUUCAGGCUGGUGAUGCCGAGGAGGCGGUUCGGAUAUUUGCCCAGAUGCCGGAGCAGAACACAAUUGCGGCGAACUCGAUGAUCGCUUUGUUCGGAAAGUGCAACAGGCCUGUCGAUGCACGGAAUCUGUUUGAUACGAUGCAAUCUAGGGAUAUUGUCACAUGGACAGCGAUGAUUUCUUGUUAUGAGCAGAAUGGUUUGUUUCGCGAGGCCCUUGAGGUGUUCUCUAAAAUGCCCGAGAAAGAAAGAUCGGUGGAUGAAGUACUAAUGCUAAGUGUUCUCUCUGCCUGCGCACAGUCGGCGGUGAUUAAACAGGGAGAAUCAAUGCAUAGUUUGAUUGUUAAAGUUGGCCUUGAAUCACACGUAAAUGUUCAGAAUGCGAUAAUUCAUAUGUACACAAGCUGCAGCGAUGUUAAAGCUGCGCAGAGAUUGUUCGAUUCGAGUAGUUAUUUGGACCAAGUUUCGUGGAAUUCCAUGCUAGCUGGCUAUCUAAAGUGCGGGCUUGUAGGAGAUGCGAGGGUUAUGUUCGACAAAAUGCCUCACAAGGAUGUUGUCUCGUGGAGUACCAUGGUUACCGGUUACGCUCAGCAUGAUCGCUUUGUAGAGACGCUGGACUUGUUUAAUGAGAUGCAAAACAGAGGAAUUAAGCCUGACGAAACUACUCUGGUGAGUGUUAUUUCGGCCUGCACUCAUUUAUCUGCUCUCGAACAAGGCAAGUGGGUUCAUACAUACAUAAGGAGACAAGGCAUCGCCGUUAAUGUGUUUGUCGGAACAACUCUUAUUGACAUGUACAUGAAAUGUGGGUGCAUGGAAACGGCACUGGAGGUCUUCGAUAUGAUGGAGGAAAGGGCGACUUCUACUUGGAAUGCCGUCAUUUUGGGGUUGGCCGUGAAUGGGCUUGUGAAAGAAUCUCUCGAGAAAUUCUCGGAGAUGGAAAAAGUUGGAGUAGCUCCGAGCGGGAUAACUUUCGUGGGUGUUUUGGGAGCUUGCAGAUAUGCUGGCUUAGUUGCUGAGGGGCGCCAUAAUUUCAAGUUAAUGCAGCAGAAAUACGGGAUUGCACCCAAUAUUAAGCACUACGGCUGCAUGGUCGAUCUCCUUGGUCGUGCGGGCUUUGUGAAAGAGGCCGAGGAGCUCAUCAAAAGUAUGCCUUUUUCGCCCGACGUAGCAACUUGGGGUGCUUUGCUUGCUGCUUGCAAGAAACAUGGCGAAACUGAGAUAGGAGAGAGAGUAGGGAAAGAGCUCAUCGAGCUCGAACCGCAACAUGAUGGCUUUCAUGUACUGCUAUCCAAUAUAUAUGCUUCGAAGGGGAUGUGGGAAAAUGUGAAGGAACUUAGGGGCUUGAUGAAGCAAAGAGGCGUCGUGAAGGUACCCGGCUGUAGCUUGAUAGAAUCGGGCGGCGUUGUUCACGAAUUCUUAGCGGGCGAUAGGACUCACCCUCAGAUCAAAGAGAUAAAUGAAAUGCUGGAUGAGGUAGCGAGGAGAUUGAGGAUCGAAGGAUAUCGACCGGACACAUCGGAUGUUGGAUUUGAUAUCGAAGAGGAAGAGAAAGAAACUACACUUCAUAGACACAGUGAGAAGCUCGCUAUUGCUUUCGGGCUCAUCAGCGUACCCCCGCCUGCUCCGAUCAGGAUAAUGAAGAACUUGCGGAUCUGCGGGGAUUGUCAUGCUGUGGCAAAGAUGAUAUCAAAAUCUUUUCAGCGCGAAGUAAUUGUGAGGGAUCGUCAGCUAUUUCACCAUUUUCGAGAUGGUGUAUGCUCGUGCGGAGAUUAUUGGUGAAUUUGUGUUCAGUGAUCAAACAAUUUGACUGUGGAUCAUCAAACCAAGGAUUUAUGCACAUAAUUGAAGCUUGUGCUAUGGUUUGAACUGAUCACACGGGGAAAUGAAUCGAAAAAUUUCUUACCCAAAUAGAAGUUACUGGGGCUUCAGAAUUGUCAUUUGGAGUUGAUGAUCAAAGGAUAAGCUAAUGGUGAAAAUUCAGAUUGAAAAUUAUCAUGAAUCUUUUAAUGUUGGCUUGCUGUGACUCUCCCAGCAAAGGGGAGAUGAUUACAAGGAAGCGCUUUUCUACGUCGAAAUCAAGGAUGGAAUCCUGGUUUCUCCACAAACUAAGUUCAUCAAGUUUCAAAAGUUGAAGGGGAUGUCAAUGAAUAAAAAUAAAGUCGAGGGGGUCAAGGUCAAGGUCUCCCUACAUUUUAACCCUCUGUAGCACUGCAAUAUAUAAUACCUGGAGGGCUAUUAUGCAAAAAAU